rnacentral:lncRNA from 1 species
UGCUUUGGGACCCUGGGAAGGCAGCCAUCAUUGGGGAGCAUGUGGUGGAGAAAGUCAGCUUCAUCCCAGACCAGGGAGCCAAGAAGAGGAGAGGAAGACUCAGUCAGUGAUCAAAGCCUCCCUGCCUCCCUUCCUUCUCAGUUUCCAAGUAUCAUCCUGGUGGACCUAAUGCCUGAGCAGCACACCAUCUACCCUUAGACCUCUGGACAAACUGUACAAGCUGGAGCAAACUGUUGCUACCCGGGCGUGAGCAUCAGAAAGAGCCUAUGUAAAGACUUCGCUUUUGGCCUUCUCCUAAUAUCAAUGCCCAAGUAAAAACUGAGCUCUGCUUUCUGAGCACAGGUACCAAGUAG